rnacentral:rRNA from 1 species
UGCAAGUCGAACGGCAGCACGGGGCAACCUGGUGGCGAGUGGCGAACGGGUGAGUAAUACAUCGGAACGUGCCCAAUCGUGGGGGAUAACGUAGCGAAAGUUACGCUAAUACCGCAUACGAUCUACGGAUGAAAGCGGGGGAUCGCAAGACCUCGCGCGAAUGGAGCGGCCGAUGUCAGAUUAGGUAGUUGGUGGGGUAAAGGCUCACCAAGCCAACGAUCUGUAGCUGGUCUGAGAGGACGACCAGCCACACUGGAACUGAGACACGGUCCAGACUCCUACGGGAGGCAGCAGUGGGGAAUUUUGGACAAUGGGCGCAAGCCUGAUCCAGCCAUUCCGCGUGCAGGAUGAAGGCCUUCGGGUUGUAAACUGCUUUUGUACGGAACGAAACGGCUCUCUCUAAUACAGGGGGCUAAUGACGGUACCGUAAGAAUAAGCACCGGCUAACUACGUGCCAGCAGCCGCGGUAAUACGUAGGGUGCAAGCGUUAAUCGGAAUUACUGGGCGUAAAGCGUGCGCAGGCGGUUAUAUAAGACAGAUGUGAAAUCCCCGGGCUCAACCUGGGAACUGCAUUUGUGACUGUAUGGCUAGAGUACGGCAGAGGGGGAUGGAAUUCCGCGUGUAGCAGUGAAAUGCGUAGAUAUGCGGAGGAACACCGAUGGCGAAGGCAAUCCCCUGGGCCUGUACUGACGCUCAUGCA